GGAACCUGCGGUCUUAAUUGACCCAACACGGGGAAACUUACUAGGUCAGGACACAGUAAGGAUUGACAGAUUGAAAGCUCUUUUCUUGAUUUUGUGGAUGGUGGUGCAUGGCCGUUUUUAGUUGGUGGAUUGAUUUGUCUGGUUAAUUCCGAAAACGAACGAGACCUUAACCUGUUAACUAUGUGAUGUUAAAAUUCGACUUCGGUCUCAAUAUUUGAUAUUAAAAAUUUAAUACUUCUUAAAGGAACAAUUCAAACUUUAAUUGAAUGGAAGUUUAAGGCAAAAACAGGUCUGUGAUGCCCUUCGAUGUUCUGGGCUGCACGCGCGUUACACUGAUAUGUUCAAUGAGUUUUUAAAUUUCCUAGUCUGAAAAGACGUGGUAAACUUAGAAAAACAUAUCGUGAUUGGAAUAGUAUUUUGUAAUUAUCGCACUUGAACGAGG
rnacentral:rRNA from 1 species